AGCAGUAACAGUGGGCUUGUGUACACACUUUUAUCCUUCAUUCCCGGAUUUAUUUGCUUAGGAAACUUCUAGUGCACAUAUGCAUGCAGACUAUGCAGAGACCUUUUUUCCAAUCACCGUUGAUUCAAUUUCUUAAUCCAUACCAAUAAAGUUAUAUGAAGAAAAAAAACAGGGAGCUGUAGACAGGCGUGACAAAAGCCUCCAAAAAAAGAGAAUCAGCAGCUGCUGUCUGGUCGAAGAAGUCUGCCUCUUAAUAUCACGUUAUCAAGCCUUUGCAACAGCAGCUGAGCAAUAUAAGAGCUGAACGGAGAAGCCCUGCUGUGCUGGAGAUUUCUGUGGCAGAAGAUAAAAAAGGGACAGCUGUCACAGUACUUGGAAAGGUGAUGACACAUCAAGCCAGAAAUAGAUCAGUUGCAAUGGAUGUUGCAAGCUACCAGCCUUGAUACUGUAUGUAAAUACACACUACAACGGGCCUCUUUGGAGAAUAUUUCCGUGGAACAAAUCAAAAGAUCUGCUUUUUUUUUCAUGCAAUAUGGAUGGCCAAUAUUCAGG